AUACAAUUUAUUCUCCGAGCUUGGCAUGCCUAAGCAAGGUACGGCAGCCAAGCCGUUAGGGUACGGGCGGGAAACCCCCGUGCCUCCCGGUGCGGAAAGGAGAAGGCGGCUGUUUGGAA
rnacentral:ncRNA from 2 species